rnacentral:rRNA from 1 species
GUGCCAGCAGCCGCGGUAAUACCGGCAGCCCGAGUGAUGGCCGAACUUAUUGGGCCUAAAGCGUGCGUAGCUGGCUGCGCAAGUCCGUCGGGUAAUCAACUCGCCCAACGAGUGGGCGUCCGACGGAAACUGCACAGCGUGGGACCGGAAGGCUAGAAGGGUACGUUCGGGGUAGGAGUGAAAUCCCAUAAUCCCGCUCGGACCACCGAUGGCGAAAGCACUUCGAGAAAACGGAUCCGACAGUGAGGGACGAAAGCCAGGGUCUCCAACCGGAUUAGAUACCCCAGUAGUCC